CUGCAUGAGUGGUUUGAAGAAGAGGAAAUAUUCCUAUCUUCUUGCUGACUGCUGGACCCUCAGGGCUUUCAAGAUGAAUAAGCUUAGAGCUGGCCACACCUAGAGGGAACCUACCCCAAGCCUCAUACUCCUGGAAUAACCUCUUUAUUAAACUGAUGGUGAGAUCUCUCGCCUAGUGGAUGGGACACACCAUCCUAGUUUCCCUAUAUAGGGAGUUAAAACCUGCACCUUCCUGGCGGAAUUCUGAAGAUAACUAAUAGAGUAUUCUGAGUUGGGAUCUUGCAAUCUCUUCUGAUGAAAAGUGAGGAUAACAAGUAAUUGCUUGGAAACACCAUGUUCACCCAGGUUGGCCCAGGACAUCAGAGUUGGAUGGUGGUGGUAUGGCAAUAGAUGUUAAACGUUCCUGCCAAUAUUCUGUUACAUACAGUUGCUGUGUGGUGGAUGGCAGCAGAGGGGUGGUCUGACAAAAUGACAUCUGACAUGGAAGUGCCUCUGAAGCAAACUGGAUUCCUCCAUGUGGAAAAAGAUUGCAUCUGUUGACAUUUAUUGAUGCUUGCUGAACAUUUAUGGAGACCAAACAGUGAAUGUAAGCACAGUGAGGCUGAGGG
ensembl:lncRNA